GUAAAAAUGUAAAAUGUCAGGGUCCUUUAAAUGCAAACCCAACGAUCCAUGUACCGGAAGUGGCGUAACCGGAAGACAAAUCGAAAGUUCUAUGGCGGUGUUUUCCAUUGUGACUUCGCUAUUUGCUGAUGCGGUGUCUAAGCGAAGAUUUUUUUGCUUUUCGUAGUGGUAUGUUUCGUAAAGAUGGUGAGUAAAGUUACCUUAUUUCAAUUCCACAAUAAAAACACGGAGUUUUUGUAAACUGUGGCCAUUUGGGCGAUCUUAAUACAAUGUGACUUGCUAACCGUUCACCAGCGUCUUGGAUUAAACGUCGAAUCCAGCCGAUCACAGAUCAGUUUCACACCUCAGUAACUUAACUGUUGUAAUUAUCACAAACACACGCGGAGGAUCGCGAAUAUAAUGAACGCUGUUUAACUAGCAAAAGACUACUUUUCAACAUAUCAAUAAGAUAUGAAGUAUAGACUAUUUACAUUGAAAGUGAGCGUAAGUAUGCAGCCUUAAUGCGUGUACAGAGGCUUUUAUGUAUCUUCCUGUAUUGUUUUCCUCUUCCCAGACUUAUCCGCACACAGUCUGUCCGCUAUAGCCAAAGUAUAUAUACAUUAAUCCAGAGUCGAAGAGAUGGAUGAGAUCCAGGAGAGCUCGGAGCCCGGCAGUCCUCUGUGCAGUCCCUGUCUGGAGCCGGACACACCGGAUUCCCUGAAUAAUGCCUGUCUGAUGAAUGACACUGACCCCCUGUUUGAAGACAAUGGACACUUUCAUGAAUUUUCCUCCACUUUUGUUCCCGAGACCCCUAGCCCCCUGAUUCACAGAAGAAAACGUCAUGCCCAGAAAGAUAGCGACAGAAAUGUGGCAACAUCAUCCUGUUCAGAUGGAAGAAAAUGGGAAAGACAUGAACACAUUCCAGGUUACAUGAGCACCACUCCAAGCUCCCAGAGAACGAUGAAGCGGCGCAGGCUGGAGGACUCGAGUGCAAGCACACUGCGUGGACACUCUACCGUUCCACCAGGAGCAAACGGAUUUGUAACGGCCUCGUCUCUUUUACCCCCUGAUUUUACGUGGUUGGAGUCUCCACGUCCAACAACCUCCUCUGCUUCUCAUGUUUUUACGUCUUCCAAACCCUCGUCCUCAGCUGGGUCUUCAACGUCUGCACUGGAUCCAACUAGUGAUCCGGCUUAUUUACAUGAGCUGCUAGUAAUGGGUCACCCCUCUAAGCAAAAAACACUAAACACCAGCAAUGGAAGGGAACAGAGGUCCAAAAAGACCAAAUCUAAAUCCUCUAAAAGUACAUCAGCACGCUCUUCUUUACACGCAAUAGAGAAUGAAGCUUCACUGCUGGAUGCAGCAAAGAGAAUGCAAGAACCAGCAAGUUCGCCUGUAUGUCCGAUACCAGAAGAUAUUGUCAUCAUAGAGGAUGAUGCUGAUGAUGUCGCGGUGGAGAGCAUGGUUCGCACCGUUCAGAUGGCUGAGGAUGAAGCGUAUGCCAGAAGCCUUCAGGAACAGUUUGAUAUGGAGGAGCGAAUGGAGCAGCAGAGGCUACAGAACAGAAACAACCACAUGGUCAGUUUGCUUUAUUUGGAGCACUGAAUGAUGCUGUGCUGUGAUCAUACUCAAACAAAAAUGGAUGGUUUCUGCAGGCUGAUCCGUAUGCUGGCUUGGGCUGGAUUUCUCCUUGGGCCUCAGUGAUCAACUCUGCAUCUCUCUCACACGGGCCCUCUGAGCUUUCAGAGCUGCAGCAGGUCAUCUUUGGAGAGCAACCCCGUAAGUCACCAAACACCAGCCAAUCUCUGUCUUGAUGAUUUCAUUUGAAUUAAGAGCAGGUUUUAAUAAAUGUUCAAAAUCAUAUUAGUAUGAAUUAUAA
ensembl:lncRNA